rnacentral:lncRNA from 1 species
GGAAGCUGUGGAAAGGAAACAAGACUGAGAGGGAAGGGCCCAACUGGGAGUGGCAGUUGGGUCUUGUGACUAGCACUUCCUUCCUGCCGGGAGUGGCAGUUGGGUCUUGUGACUAGCACUUCCUUCCUGCCGGGAGUGGCAGUUGGGUCUUGUGACUAGCACUUCCUUCCUGCAGGCUUCCUGGUGUUGGAGGAGAGAGGAGCUUGUUCAGCCCAGUCUGGAGUGGCAUGCUCUUCUUGGUUCAGCCCAAAGACACAGGCUUCUGAAGUGAAAGAAAAGAAGUCCCUUGCAAAACAUGAAAACUUAAUGGCUACAAUUGGCCAGUAUCUUUGGGGAUAAUCCAGGAGCUUGGUUCUGUGAGAUAAAAGGA